rnacentral:rRNA from 1 species
UACAGAGGUCUCAAGCGUUGCUCGGAAUCACUGGGCGUAAAGGGUGCGUAGGCGGGUUUUUAAGUCAGGGGUGAAAUCCUGGAGCUCAACUCCAGAACUGCCUUUGAUACUGAAGAUCUUGAGUCCGGGAGAGGUGAGUGGAACUGCGAGUGUAGAGGUGAAAUUCGUAGAUAUUCGCAAGAACACCCGUGGCGAAAGCGGCUCUCUGGAACGGUACUGACGCUGAGACGCGAAAGCGUGGGGAGCGAACAGG